rnacentral:rRNA from 1 species
GUCGUGAGACAGUUCGGUCCCUAUCCUCCGCAGGCGCAAGGGAUUUGAGGAGACCCGCCCCCAGUACGAGAGGACCGGGGCGGACGGACCUCCGGUGGCCCGGUUGUCGACCAACGGCACUGCCGGCUAGCCGCGUCCGGCGCGGAUAACCGCUGAAGGCAUCUAAGCGGGAAGCCGCCUCCGAGAUGAGAUCCCUCUCUGGUAAGGGCCCUGGUAGACCACCAGGUUGAUAGGGCGCAGGUGCAAGCGGGGCGACCCGUUCAGCCGAGCGCUACUAAUCGCCCGAGCUCUUCCUAUU